rnacentral:rRNA from 1 species
CAGCAGCCGCGGUAAUACGGAGGGAGCUAGCGUUGUUCGGAAUUACUGGGCGUAAAGCGCGCGUAGGCGGUUAUUCGAGUCAGAGGUGAAAGCCCGGGGCUCAACCCCGGAACUGCCUUUGAAACUAGAUGACUAGAAUCUUGGAGAGGCCAGUGGAAUUCCGAGUGUAGAGGUGAAAUUCGUAGAUAUUCGGAAGAACACCAGUGGCGAAGGCGACUGACUGGACAAGUAUUGACGCUGAGGUGCGAAAGCGUGGGGAGCGAACAGGAUUAGAUACCCGAGUAGUCCCUGUCUCUUAUAC